AUUGAACGCUGGCGGCAGGCCUAACACAUGCAAGUCGAGCGGAUGAAGGGAGCUUGCUCCUGGAUUCAGCGGCGGACGGGUGAGUAAUUCCUAUGAAUCUGCCUGGUAGUGUGGGAUAACGUCCGUAAACGGGCGCUAAUACCGCAUACGUCCUGAGGGUGAAGGUGGGGGUUCUUCGGACCUCUCGCUAUCAGAUGAGCCUAGUUCGGAUUUGCUAGUUGGUGUGGUAAAGGCCUACCAAGGCGACGAUCCGUAACUGGUCUGAGAGUAUGAUCAGUCACAGUGGAAAUGAGAGACGGACCAGACUCCUACGGGAGGAAGCAGUGGGGAAUAUUGGACAAUGGGCGAAAGCAUGAUACAGCAAUGCCGCGUGUGUGAAGAAGGUCUUCGGAUUGUAAAGCACUUUAAGGGGGGAGGAAGGGAAGUAAGUUAAUACCUUGCUGUAUUGACGUUAACAAAAGAAUAAGCACCGGCUAACUUCGUG
rnacentral:rRNA from 1 species